GGUUCCAUAGCAUAAUGGUUUUCAUGUUUGCUUUAUAUGCAGAAGGUCCUGGGUUUGAGCCCCAGUGGAACCA
rnacentral:tRNA from 2 species